AAGAGUAGCGUUACUAUGGCAACCCUGACAGGUUUGUGAGCAGCCCCCGGUCCCCUGCCGCUCCGUGAGAAAUCAAACUUCAGGCACUGACGAAGCAUGAAGCCAGCAUCUUAGGAAGAGGUAGUGACAUAAUUACAAGGUAGGACCAACCGCCCUGGUCCCACUGUCGCCUGGCAGGCAGGAGAGGUUUGGGAACAGCCAGGCUCCCCUUGACAUGGCAGUACUGCUCUGGACGCGGGGAGGUGUGGAUUAGUGGGUGGGAGCUACACCUGGCAUACUGGGAGUUGUCGUCUUUGAUUAGCUUCCAGUUUUUUAAUUGCAGGGC
rnacentral:lncRNA from 1 species